UAUUAUGCUCAUUACUUUGGAG
rnacentral:miRNA from 1 species